ACCUCGGUCCGGCAUCUUUGGGUUAUCUUAUAGGAUCUCUUCGGGGAUCAUCCAUUGAUACUAACUUGACCGUUGAA
rnacentral:sRNA from 18 species